rnacentral:rRNA from 1 species
UACGAAGGGUGCAAACGUUGCUCGGAAUCAUUGGGCGUAAAGCGCACGUAGGCGGCCAUAAAAGUCGGAUGUGAAAUCCCUCGGCUCAACCAAGGAAGUGCAUCUGAUACUGUAUGGCUUGAGUACCAAAGAGGAUCGCGGAAUUCCCGGUGUAGAGGUGAAAUUCGUAGAUAUCGGGAGGAACACCAGUGGCGAAGGCGGCGAUCUGGGUGGUUACUGACGCUGAGGUGCGAAAGCGUGGGGAGCAAACAGG